AGCAGCCGCGGUAAUUCCAGCUCCAAUAGCGUAUAUUAAAGUUGUUGCAGUUAAAAAGCUCGUAGUUGAAUUUCGAGACCGGCUUACUGGUCGUGCUUUUGUACGUACUGGUAUAAUCGGUUUCUCCUUUCUGACGAACUAUAAUGCCAUUAAUUUGGUGUUAUGGGGAAUCAGGACUGUUACUUUGAAAAAAUUAGAGUGUUUAAAGCAGGCUCACGCUUGAAUACAUUAGCAUGGAAUAACGGAAUAGGACGUUUGAUUCUAUUUUGUUGGUUUCUAGGAUCGACGUAAUGAUUAAUAGGGAUAGUUGGGGGCAUUAGUAUUCAAUUGUCAGAGGUGAAAUUCUUGGAUUUAUUGAAGACUAACUACUGCGAAAAGCAUUUGCCAAGGAUGUUUUCAUUAAUCAAGAACGAAAGUUAGGGGAUCGAAAGACGAUCAGAUACCGUCGUA
rnacentral:rRNA from 1 species